AGUGGGGAAUAUUGGGCAAUGGGCGAAAGCCUGACCCAGCCAUGCCGCGUGAGUGACGACGGCCUUAGGGUUGUAAAGCUCUUUUGGCGGGGACGAUAAUGACGGUACCCGCAGAAUAAGCCCCGGCUAACUUCGUGCCAGCAGCCGCGGUAAUACGAAGGGGGCUAGCGUUGUUCGGAAUCACUGGGCGUAAAGCGCACGUAGGCGGACUUUCAAGUCAGGGGUGAAAUCCCGGGGCUCAACCUCGGAACUGCCUUUGAUACUGUUGGUCUCGAGUCCGGAAGAGGUGGGUGGAAUUCCUAGUGUAGAGGUGAAAUUCGUAGAUAUUAGGAAGAACACCGGUGGCGAAGGCGGCCCACUGGUCCGGUACUGACGCUGAGGUGCGAAAGCGUGGGGAGCAAA
rnacentral:rRNA from 1 species